GCACUUGUAGCUCAGCUUGGAUAGAGCACGACACUCCUAAUGUCGGGGUCGGGGGUUCAAAUCCUCCCAAGUGCA
rnacentral:tRNA from 1 species